GAUGAACGCUGGCGGCGUGCCUAAUACAUGCAAGUCGAACGCUUUGUCUUUAAUUGAUAUGAAGAGCUUGCUCUGAUUUGAUUUUAUCUGACAAAGAGUGGCGAACGGGUGAGUAACACGUGGGUAACCUACCUCUUAGCAGGGGAUAACAUUUGGAAACAAGUGCUAAUACCGUAUAACACUAACAACCGCAUGGUUGUUAGUUGAAAGAUGGUUCUGCUAUCACUAAGAGAUGGACCCGCGGUGCAUUAGCUAGUUGGUAAGGUAAUGGCUUACCAAGGCGAUGAUGCGUAGCCGAGUUGAGAGACUGAUCGGCCACAAUGGGACUGAGACACGGCCCAUACUCCUACGGGAGGCAGCAGUAGGGAAUCUUCCACAAUGGGCGCAAGCCUGAUGGAGCAACGCCGCGUGUGUGACGAAGGGUUUCGGCUCGUAAAACACUGUUAUAAGAGAAGAACGACAUUGAGAGUAACUGUUCAGUGUGUGACGGUAUCUUAUCAGAAAGGAACGGCUAAAUACGUG
rnacentral:rRNA from 1 species